AGCGUAGUGGUUAGGCUUCUGACUAUAAAUCAGAAGGUCAUGGGUUCAAUUCCCAC
rfam:Aedes albopictus isolate Foshan contig14749, whole genome shotgun sequence.